rnacentral:rRNA from 1 species
GACGAGGGGUCCUAGCGUUGUUCGGAAUCACUGGGCGUAAAGCGUUUGUAGGCGGCUCUAUAAGUCGGGUGUGAAAUCCCAUGGCUCAACCAUGGAAGUGCAUUCGAAACUGCAGAGCUUGAAUAUGGAAGAGGAGAGUAGAAUUCCUGGUGUAGUGGUGAAAUACGUAGAUAUCAGGAGGAAUACCAGUGGCGAAGGCGGCUCUCUGGUCCAAUAUUGACGCUGAGAAACGAAAGUGCGGGGAUCAAACAGG